UGCCCUAUAGCCAAGUGGUAAGGCAGCGGUUUUUGGUACCGCCAUCCGUUAGUUCGAGUCUAACUGGGGCAGCCA
rnacentral:tRNA from 2 species